rnacentral:lncRNA from 1 species
CCAACUACCCUUGAAUUCCAUAACACAUGCUCUCAACACGUCCUCGAAGGUCUAAAUAGUCAUCUCUACCUGACCAUCUAUCUAAGGAUAAAAAGCAGUACUAAGAUGAAAUGGGUACCCAAAACCUUCUAAAAGGCUUUCCAAAAGUCAGAGGUAAACUGAGUACCCUUAUCUGAAAUGAUGGACAAAGGAAUUCUACAAAAUCUGACCAAC